rnacentral:snoRNA from 25 species
AGCACAGUUCGAAGGCCGUCAUUCUUUGUAUAACAUGUAGAAUGCAAUCGGUUCAAAAUCUCUGCUAGA